GACGAACGCUGGCGGCGUGCUUAACACAUGCAAGUCGAACGGAAAGGCCCUGCUUUUGUGGGGUGCUCGAGUGGCGAACGGGUGAGUAACACGUGAGUAACCUGCCCUUGACUUUGGGAUAACUUCAGGAAACUGGGGCUAAUACCGGAUAGGAGCUCCUGCUGCAUGGUGGGGGUUGGAAAGUUUCGGCGGUUGGGGAUGGACUCGCGGCUUAUCAGCUUGUUGGUGGGGUAGUGGCUUACCAAGGCUUUGACGGGUAGCCGGCCUGAGAGGGUGACCGGCCACAUUGGGACUGAGAUACGGCCCAGACGCCUACGGGAGGCAGCAGGGGGGAAUAUUGCACAAUGGGCGGAAGCCUGAUGCAGCAACGCCGCGUGCGGGAUGACGGCCUUCGGGUUGUAAACCGCUUUCGCCUGUGACGAAGCGUGAGUGACGGUAAUGGGUAAAGAAGCAACGGCUAACUACGUG
rnacentral:rRNA from 1 species